UAUUCUUAUCACUGGAAGUCCUUAGCUGCUGAAACAACUAUCAAAUGGAAAUGGUAGGUUUUCUGUGCCUGAAAUCUUUAAAUUGAGACUGGAUGCCAUUUUGGAAAAUAUACUUUUUUCUAAACAUAACUUGCUAGGUUUAGUGCAGGGUAAGAGGGAGAAAGUGUCUGGGCUCUCUUAUUCUGGUCAGGCCAGAGGAGCUGGUGUUUCUUUUUGGUAUUUGAGUCUCUGCUUCUGCUACGCUCUUCUCAGCACUGCCUUGUUACAGAGGAAAAGGAACUUUUAAGAGGGUCCUAAAUUAGUGUCCCUCUUUUCACAAGCCAUGUCUCUUAUUUCUGCUGCCUCUGUAAAAUGCAAUGAACAAUGAAAUGUGAAUUACUGAGAUUUGGGGCUACUGGGAGACAAAGCAGGGGAGCUAUUUAUGUAAUGCUGAAACACAUGAGUACCAUUGUUAUAUUCUUUCCUCAUAUGUAUGCCUAUUUGCUCCACUGGACUUCGUUCCUUACUAACAUUACUGCUCUCUCUUUCUCCAUUACACACGCUGUACUUCCCUCACAAGACACAGACAGGCCGUAAGGAAGGAAUAUUUCUGGUGAAGUCAGUGAAGUUACCUGUGCAUAAUUCUGGAUUAAUCCACUGAAGGCAGCUAUGGACCACUCAGUGCACACAUGCUCUGCGUUUCUCAUACCCAGAACCUUGCUGUGUUGGAGCACCUAUACUUCUCUGGAUGAAUAUUGACUUCUGGAUCCUAGGUCAAGCAAAGCCUAUGAGCAGGAGGAGGCACUUGCCUUUAGGGAUGGCAUUCCCUGAGGGGUAUGGACAGCACUGAAAUUGCCUGAGCAUCAUUGAUAACAUGCCUGCAGCUCAAGAACAUUUGUAACAGGUUCAUCUGAAAAGCAGAGGGAAGGAGCCUGUUUCCUGAUCGGAUCAGAUUUGUCAGAGAAGUUCUGAGAAGCAUCUGAAAUUUGCACGGACAUCUAAACUGCACGUAGCUCUGGUCUGGCUCUAGAAUAUGUAUCAUUCACAUUUAAAAACUUUUGCUCAGUGUUGGUGGAUUCAUUGGCCAGGCUGCUUGAUGUAUGGCUCUGGAGGACAAGGUAGUCUGACAGCCAGUGGAACUGACUAAAUGGCCAAGGGUUUAUGGAAAUUCCAGUGGGAAUCCGUUCACUGUGCAUUCUCCUGCCUUGGACAGCCAACAAGUUGUGAGCGUGCAGCUCCUAAUCAGGGCUGGCAGGGCAGAUGGUUUAUCUUUGGCUGCCUGAGAGUUCCUGCUCUGCAGAGAGAGGCAGACACUCGUUUUGACUCCUUGUUGUGGGCUUUUCAGUUUCCAGUCCAUUACAAGUGACAUAGCUGAUAAAAAGCCUGUCUGUCAGUGGUGUCCCCGGAGGGGUGAAUCUUCAUCCCCUCCUGUACUCAUACCAGGACUGUCUGCUCAUGCUUUUUUGGAUCAUGCUGGGCACCAGGUGAGGAAGAACUCCGCUGGGAGCUGGAUCACAGCAUCCCAGCCCUGCCAAGCCCUCUCCCACAUGCCCCUCCUAGCCACUUCAUAGGCAAUGGCAGCUCUAAAACAAACCUCUUCCCAAGUGGGAAUGUCGGUGCUUAAAAUAAAUCACUGCCUAUCAUUUUCUGAGUGGGUCAGAAGAAGACUUGUAAGCCUGUGUUGUGAACAGCUCUGACCCACUGCUUGGGAAAGAAAUGCCGCAGCAGACAGCAUUGCUCUGUAUCCAUCACCCAUGAAAGAAAAAAGGAAGCAAAAAUCCGACAGCUGUGGCCAGUCAGGAACUAUUUUGUGCAGUCAUGUAUUGGGCAUAUACGGUUCCUUUCAUUUACAGAAAGUGCACAUCUAUAAACCAAUCAAGGUCAUACUGGACUUCUCGGUGGGAACUGCUAUUCCCAUUUUGCAGCAGAGAAAGAAAAGGGUAGAUCUGCACAGAAUUUGUCUGGAUUCAACAGGGACCUUGCAGGCUAAUCCAAGGGGAUCCGAGUGGCAAAGUCUGUUCCGCCCGUGACUUGUCCAUGGCCAGCAGGGAUUCUGCAGCAGAGUGGGGAUAGAGUAUGGCGCCUUGCAUCCCAAAGCAUUGAUCUGAACAACUAUAACUGAAAUAACACCUCUAGAUUUCAUUGCUAAUGAAUAAGUAUGCUGUUCACUUGUCUGAGCCUCACCUUUUUUCUUUCUAAUUUGAGCUGACCUUCUGUACCUUUGCCGGAGUCCAAGUGUUACUUUCCAGUGCCCAUUUAUGAAGAAUAAAGAUAAGACAAACACAUAUAAAUAUACGUGUGUGUGUGUAUAUAUAUAUAUAUAUAUAAGUAUUUUCCCAUAUCACACUGGAGCGAGCUUCCUUUUCUCUGGCUCCAUAAUACUCUCUUUUUUCCUUACUAUAUCAAUUUUAACUCAGUUUAUUACAGUUUUGUGCCUGAUAUUCCAAAAAUUAUUUUCCUAGGGUUAAUCCCUAACCCCCAGCAAUAUCAUUAGGAAAGCUAUAUAGCAGACUUGAAAUAGUUACUACUUGGAGCAAGCCGCCUUUUCAAGUCAUAGAGAUCUUUAUUUAUAAUUCACGGAUUGGAGAAACUGGAGCAACGAUUUCUACAGUAUAAUGCAUAUAGUUUUGUCUGACAGACCUGUGCUAAUUACUCUGUGUGGUUUUGAUAUAGAGCCAAGAAUGGGUUGUAGAAAAAUGUGUAUCACUAAAACUUAGGUCCCCAAAGUCAAAAGUAAAACAAACAGUGAGAGAUCAUUAUCUGAAGCAGACCCUUACUAGCUGUGUACAGAAAAAAGUAAUUCCUGUGUUUUCUGUUUCUUUUUUUUCUUUAGAUCCAAGUAGUGUUUCUGUUUGUAUUUGGAAAUAUCUUGAAUUUGUACAGUUAGGGCAGACAGUGCAUUUAUUCUGCUCUAUCCGCUUUUUUCUUCUCUUUGAAAGACUAUAGCUGGCUCUGGUGUGGACUCUUUGUGUGGCCUUCAGCGAGUCACUUAACCUUCCUGUGCAUCAGUUUACUCAUUUGUAAAAGGAGUAUUAUAAUAAUAGACACCCCUCAGGGGCUCUUCCAGAUUUAAAUAAUUAAUGUUGUUAAAGCAGUUUGUGAGCCUCAGAUUAAAGGUGCUAAAUAAAGGCAAUAUAUUAAUAUUUUUUUACUCCAGCUCCUUAUAGAAAGAGCAAAGCAACAGCCUGAUAAACGUUGGAUUUAAAGUUGGGAGUUGAUAUUACAGUGCUCAGAGUAUUUUUUAAUUUCUGUGGUCCCAGUUCAGCAGAGCUCUUAAAUCCAUUCUUAAUUUUAGAAAGACCCUUUAUUUGCCACAGGUAAGGCUCCCAAUCUGAAAAGGUUUUUGAAUCAGUCCCCGUAAGAGCAGCGAUAGAAGAGAAGGAUCAACUGUGCAUGUAUGUAUCUAUGUGUGUUUAGCCUUUUGCAUUUAUGAUCUCAGCAAGAACAUCAUUGCCACAGGAAUGUAAUCGGGAAGUCUCAUAAGGCUUGCAAAAUUCAGCCGGGAUGCAAAUCAAUAAAUGUAACAGGAGAGAAACUACAAGCUGUGCAUUUCCAUGGAGGCUGAGAUUUUGUGGGAUGGAUAGACGCUGCUGAGCAUGACCUAAUGCCGCAGGAAAAAAAAGCAACCACAGACCUCAGCAUCUAAACAGUAUGAAUAUUGAACCAGAGGUCCUUGAGUAAUUGUCCUUUCUUCACUCUAGGGGUGAAAAGGGUACAUUAGACAUUCACUAGCAGCAAAUGGCACCUGACAUCUCUUUAAGUGAAAGUCAGCUUGGAAUUUUUUUUAAUGGCCAAGCAUAAAUCUUUUAAAUUAUAAAUCAAUAAAUAGUUAAUUCAAUAAUAGGAAUCUUUUAAAUAUUUAAUGAGUCAUAUGCAGAAUGGCUCUAUAACUGGAUGUUGAUGGAACUGUGUCAAAGGAAUUUGAAUCAAACUUUUCUAAACUCCCCAUAUUAAAAUAGUUAUUGAUUCAGAUAUAAACUAUGAAGACUGUUGCAAAAGUAAGGGGAGAUGGAGAGGUUUAGCAUACAUUUUCUCAUCCAAGAAGCAGCUUAUUUUUAAUGAUGUAUUCUUGAGCUUUUCAGAUUGUAUUAAUGUUCCCACUACAAAAAUGAGUAAGAACCUAUGCAGGCGAGAUUUUGUGUGUGCGUAUUCAUUAAAAUCCUGUUUUAAUGGCAGCUGUGCUCUUAAAUAAAAGCUGUGGCAGCCUGCCUCUCAUUAAAGGAUUCUGCUAACCAGCAUUGACAUUGAUAUCCUGAACUAUCUCCAUCUGAAACUGCCCAGAAGUUUCAACUUAUUUACCAGAGUUUUCAAGUGAAAGCCAGUGGGAGUGGUAUCUAUGUGUUCUAGACCUGAAUUUGUUCCUUUAUAAUUUUCUCUGAGGAGAUCUGUAGUCAGCGUUCACUCUUAUUAACUAUGUGCUGCCGUAAGUCAACACUAUUCUUAAUUACCCUAAAUUGGAGGCAUUUCAUGCUUAAACCUCAGACCUCAUUUGGUGCACUGUUAUUCUAUAGCAGAUGUGGCAUCUUCAGAUUUUGUACAGUCAAACCUUUACUUUCAAAAUAAUA